rnacentral:misc_RNA from 1 species
CUUAAUCUUAACAUGUUCAGCUUAAUUUAGUAAUGUGGUAUAAGAGCAGGUCUGGCUCAGUUUAAUUCAAGUUUAAUUCAAAUUCAAUUCAAGUGUCAAGUUCAAAGGUUCCAAGUGUUGCCGUUAUGUCAAAAUUCAAGGUUUCAAGGGGAGGAUUUCAAUUUUCAAGUGUCAACUAAAAAUGUCCUAUUGCCACUUGAGGGGGGGUGUUAAGAGUUUCAAUUACCCACAUCUAAAGUGUACACCAACUUCAAUGGGAUUAUAAGGGUCAAGGCUAACUAAGCUAAUUGGUUAGGUCUAACCUUUUAGCAAUAGUUGGUCCAAGC